UCCGAACCCGUCGGCUGU
rnacentral:snRNA from 1 species